AUUGAACGCUGGCGGCAGGCUUAACACAUGCAAGUCGCGCGAGCGGCGGACGGGUGAGUAAUGUCUGGGAAACUGCCUGCUGGAGGGGGAUAACUACUGGAAACGGUAGCUAAUACCGCAUACCAUCAGAUGUGCCCAGAUGGGAUUAGCUAGUAGGUGGGGUAAUGGCUCACCUAGGCGACGAUCCCUAGCUGGUCUGAGAGGAUGAACAGCCAAACUGGAACGGAGACACGGUCCAGACUCCUAAGGGAGGCAGCAGUGGGGAAUAGUGGAAAAUGGGCGGAAGCCCGAUGCAGCCAUGCCGCGGGGUGGAAGAAGGCCUUCGGGUUGUAAAGCACUUUCAGCGAGGAGGCGUUACUCGCAGAAGAAGCACCGGCGAACUCCGUGCCAGCAGCCGCGGUAAUAC
rnacentral:rRNA from 1 species